GAGUUUUUAUUUUCAAUUAUUAAGUAGACAGCUACUCGCUUCAAUUGUGUCAACAGUUUAUAAUUGAAAUUCAAUUAUGAAUUAAAAAGUUUCAUUAUGGGAAUAUAAAUAUGAAUGUAAAAUUGUGAAAAUUACUUAACCGAUCAUCAUGUAACUCUGUACAUAUAUUCUUGGAGGUAUAAAAAAUAUUAUUUACCAGAUUUCCAGUAAUGGAGCUCCAGCCCUAAUUACUGUAACACCGUUCCACAGUAUUAUCAACAGUCACGUCAAUAUCCAAUCUAAUUGAUUGAUAUAUGUCCCUACGUUACGGUGCCAACAAUAUUCAUUUUCUCUCUCGUUCGAGGCACUUUAUAUAUACUGCGCAUGCUUGAGAGUGCGCAGAACGGAGAUGGAACCUCGGAGAAUAGAGAAAUCGUUGCCAUUCUGUUUUCCUUAGUCGGAACAACUACCACUUAAAGAAACUGUCGUAGAAAUAUUUGAAUUUUUGAGGUUAGGUGUCAUUUCUGUGGUUACAUGCUAUUAAUUAUUUUAUAUCUUACUCUUUGGUUUUAAUUCUUAAUCUGUUCUUCUUUAAAAAUGCCUCGGAAGCUAAAUCUCUGUGCAGCAAAAGUUGCACGAAUUAAACGAAUUAAAGAAACCUCGGUUCACGUCGAGAUGAGAAUACAACAGCGAGCAGAGCGACAAAGUUUUGAGAGCAGCUGAAACUCCUCUUCAGGUACGAGUUCGUUCAGAAAGACAAGCUACGCUGCAGGUAGCUAGAAAAGCGAUAGAAACGCCAGAAUAAUCGCAGGCGAUAAGAAUUCAGAAUGUAGAAAUGCAGACCAAGCGCCGACGAAAUUUCAUACGAGAGACCUAAAAUCAAGAACAUUCGCUCAAGUAUUUAUAACAGAAUUGCGUUGAAGGUUGUAGCCUUGCAGUCAAAUGGUCGCGGGUUUAAAUCUGACUGCACAAUGUGUAAUUUUGUAUACAUUUGAGACAUAAAUGAAGAAGAGAAGAUGGACGUAUCAAGCACUUCGUAAACAAGCAACAAAUAAGCUUUAAAUUAUUAUACAUCAGGCAAAAGAAGAGAAAGACUUGCACGAACAUGGAAAAGAGCUAACAAGAAAGAACUGAAACAGAUAAAGUUAAUAUGGAAAGAGGGUACAGAAAUAACCAAAAACACAAAGAAAUGGCGAAACUUUUUGAACAAAAUUAGACGAAACAAUUUUACCACAGCUGCUGAAACAACGACAGUUGCCAUUUGCUUCACUGGAAACUACAUAUGACGAUGAUGAUGAUUGUGGACUGCUGUGACGAACCCAUCGUCUAAGUAUAUCGCUAUAAUCGUAUUUUGAGUUGGUAUAUGGAAGUAUUAAAAAGGUACUGAAGAAGAGUGUAUAUCGGGUGGUGGAUAUUAGAAGCGUUAGUUUACAAAGAAUUACCAAUGACAAGGAAUUCUGAUGUAAGACAUCUUAAAAAGAGAUCAUUGUGAGACUCUGGAGAAGUUUACAGAAAUGUGGUGGAUCAGUUGGAAGCCCUAUUUUCGGCAACUACUUUAAAGAAAUAGCAUUAUUUAUAAAACAAAAGUAAAUUUUGAUAAAUGAGAAAUAAUAUCAUUAUUUUUCCCACGAAAUUUGUUCUUUUUUUUUGGAGUAAUUAUCUAGAUUUAUCGAGCUAUUCCAUACAGAAAUAUCAGCAUCGUAUAUCUUAUCGUUGCGGCGCCAUAAAUAAAUUUGUCUACUAACUUUGGCAGGAAAUUUUUCUUCGGCCUAAACCUCAUCUAACAAUAUUGAAGUAAAUAUUCUACAUGUAUUUUUCAUGGAGAUGACAAUAUCUAUCACUUUCCUUAAAAUAUUGGAUGUUUUCUUUGUCGUCAAAGUUCGAGGUAUAGCUUUGUGGCAUCGCCAAUCAGAAGCGUUUUAUAUGGAUUAUGGGAUUGGCGUGUUAUAGAAAAUUUUAUCGUUAAGUUUUGAAGAAGUUUAGAGUUGAAAGAAUGCGAAUUUUCAUUUUCAAUCCGAUUACUAUUACAUACCACAAAGUUCAAUGAAUCACUUACUCAAUAAAGUUAAAAGAUAUCUGAUUAUAGCAGUUGAAAGAAGUUAUUUUGAAUAUAUUACCACCUUUGGAGGUAUAUUGUAUCAAAUAUAAUUUUUUCCUAAAAUUUUUACAAUUUUCGAAAAUAUCCAGUGGUAAAACAAUCUUAUUUCAACAAAAAACUUUUUACUAUCCAUUGAUUAUGGUACGAGGAUGGUCCCAGAAGUACCUGGCCUGACCUAAAGAUGGUAGUUAUUGCUUGAAAAGUACCACUGUAAUAGAAAGUACACAAUUUAUUGGAUAGGAGAGUUUAAACGAGGCCGUACGACCUGGAUAAUAGGAUAAUUUCAUAAAUUAUUAUCUUUUUCCUGGUCAGGUCAUCAGGAUAGUAUUUAUCGGGAUCGGUGGAAUAGUCAAAACUGCAAUAGCUACUACACAGCAGAUGUUUCUUAGUCGUUCGAUAAAAUCUGGUGAAAAUACUUCCCCUACCCGAUAUGAACUCUUCUUCAGUACCUUUCUAAUAGUACAAUUAACCCUUUAUUCCCUAUACUAACAGAAAACGAAUUAUAGAACCAAAUGGAGAAGAAAUAUCCUGUACACUUAUGGUAGAUGUUGCGUGUAUUUCAAAUUUGUUUUUCAGCAUGAGGUUUAUUGCAUCAGAUUCAAAUUAUUAUUUGAAGCCUUCGGGUUUCCCUAAAACUCAUUACCUGCCAGACGCAAUUCCUUUCUUAAGCAGAAUGUGACCAGUUAUUUAUAUCUACGAGUUGUGAGAGUGGAAAGCUUCUUGUUUUAAAUGGUAUCGAUCCUAUUCAGUGCUGUGGAUGAUUCCACAAGUCUCAAUAUUGGUGCCCCACUUGACAUUACCAAAGCUCGAUGUUCUUUGAGAAGCCGAUCAGGCCGGAACCUUUCGAUGUAUUUAAACCGCGUUCGUGUGAGUGCUGGGCACUCACAGAUGACCUAGUCUGCGGUCUAAUCCUCCUCCAUGCACCAACGGCAAUCCGGAUCAUUCGUGAUUCCCAUGGUGCACCUUAGAUGACCGUGUCCGAUUAAAAGUCCGGAUUCGCGCAUACUUAGUUGGAGCAGUUGUUUGGUCUGAGACGCACAAGGUCCAUCCAGGUGUGUCUUUUCUUGUCUGAGGUGACUCUAUCUAUCUCUGCCGAACCCGCUUUGAAAGUAGACCGUUGAGAGUCGCGAUAGCAACACUUUUAGCUACACCAAAGAUGGUUUCUGGACCCAUAGGUGAUUUCGCCGAUACCAGUCUGACGCGCGAGUCCUCGUCGUUUUGAAACACCAUUCAAUUUAUUAGAAACAUACAAACAUAUCUAAUUACGA